UACGUAGGGGGCGAGCGUUGUCCGGAUUCAUUGGGCGUAAAGAGCUCGUAGGCGGCUUGGUAAGUCGGGUGUGAAACCUCCAGCUCAACCUGGAGACGCCACUCGAUACUGCCAUGCUAGAGUCCGGUAGGGGCCCACGGAAUUCCUGGUGUAGCGGUGAAAUGACGCAGAUAUCAGGAGGAACACCGGUGGCGAAGGCGGGUCUCUGGGCCGAUACUGACGCUGAGGAGCGAAAGCGUGGGGAGCGAACAGG
rnacentral:rRNA from 1 species